rnacentral:rRNA from 1 species
UACGGAGGGUGCGAGCGUUAAUCGGAAUUACUGGGCGUAAAGGGUGCGUAGGUGGUUAAUUAAGUUAUCUGUGAAAUCCCUGGGCUCAACCUGGGCAGGUCAGGUAAAACUGUUUAACUCGAGUAUGGGAGAGGGUAGUGGAAUUUCCGGUGUAGCGGUGAAAUGCGUAGAUAUCGGGAGGAACACCAGUGGCGAAGGCGGCUUUCUGGCCCGUUCUUGACGCUGAGGCGCGAAAGCUAGGGUAGCAAACGGG